rfam:Asian citrus Psyllid, Diaphorina citri - Florida Strain, whole genome shotgun sequence.
GCAAGCGGCGACAGCAUGUUGAAUGCACACAGCAGUUCCCAUUGGAUCACUCAAGUUAAGCAACGUUGCGCGUGGUUAGUGUACGGAUGGGUGACCUCCCGGUCAACAAUCAUGUGGUGCUUGCG